CAGCAAGCCUCCAGCAUGCUUGGAUCUGAGGUGACUCUGCAUUUCUAUAGUGCUUGUAAGAGCAUCAUGAAGUUGUCUGAAGCCUUGUCUUGCUUCAUCCACAGCAAGGUCAUAGAAAUUUUAGACAAUU